AGGUAAUUAGUUUAAAAAAAAUACUUGAUUUCGGCUCAAACAGCUUGUGGUUCAAAUCCACAAUUAACCUG
rnacentral:tRNA from 1 species